rnacentral:rRNA from 1 species
AUUGAACGCUGGCGGCAUGCCUUACACAUGCAAGUCGAACGGCAGCACGGGAGCAAUCCUGGUGGCGAGUGGCGAACGGGUGAGUAAUAUAUCGGAACGUGCCCAGUCGUGGGGAUAACGUAGCGAAAGCUACGCUAAUACCGCAUACGAUCUAUGGAUGAAAGCGGGGGAUCGCAAGACCUCGCGCGAUUGGAGCGGCCGAUAUCAGAUUAGGUAGUUGGUGAGGUAAAGGCUCACCAAGCCGACGAUCUGUAGCUGGUCUGAGAGGACGACCAGCCACACUGGGACUGAGACACGGCCCAGACUCCUACGGGAGGCAGCAGUGGGGAAUUUUGGACAAUGGGCGCAAGCCUGAUCCAGCAAUGCCGCGUGCAGGAUGAAGGCCUGGUGUAACUGCUUUGUACGGAACGAAACGGUAAGACGUCUAAUAC